CCCACCCGCCGGGAGGGGCGGGGCCUCGCCCUGACUCACCAAUGGGAGCAGCGCUGUCCGCCCCCUCGAGCCAAUGAGCGACAAUCUCGGGAGUGACGAGCUACUACCCCGCUGUCAGCCAAUAGACUUGCGAGGUCCGCACUCCUCAGCCAAUGAGAGCCGCUAGGGGCGGGUUAAUGCAUGGAGACGAUGUAAACAACCCCGAGUGCGCGGCCCAGGAGGGGGCGGAGUCAGCGUCAGGCCGGCAGCCAAUGGGAGCCCUGCGGCGCGUCACCGAACGGACGGGACGGAGCUCGGAAGCGGCGAGUGCGCGCUGGGAGUGCCGAGGGAGCCGGGGAAGGCACCGAGGGACACAGCCAGCCUUUCCCUCAACACCUCCGGGGCGGCGACUCCAAGGAGCAGCCCAUCCCAAUGUCUAAUCACCCUUUCUGUGAAGAAAUUCCUCUAAAUGUCCAGCCUGAACAUCCCUGGCACGCUUCAGGCCAUUUCCUCUCAUCCUGUCCCUCGGUCCGUGGGAGCAGGGGCAAUCCCCACCUGACACGCUCCUUUCAGGUGCUGUAGAGCGGUCAGGUCCCCCCGAGCCGCCUCCUCUCCGGACUGACACCCCCAGCUCCCUCAGCGGCUUCAGUGCUCCAGACCCUUCCCCUGACUCGCUCCAGGCCCUCCAGGCCUUUUCCGAAGUGAGAGGCCAGAGCUGGACACAGCAUUCGAGCUGUGGCCGAGUACAGACGGACAAUCCUGCCCUGCUCCUGCUGGCCACACUCUUCCUGCUCCAGGCCGGGAUGCCGCUGCUGGUCUGGUCGUACCUCACCGCGCUGGCCCCGUCCCACAGAAUUCCCGGACAAUCCCGUUUCCCGGGGACACCAGGUACGGGCAGACGGGAAAGUGGUGGCAGCGCUCCCGCUGGCCUGCGGGGGGCGCUGGCGGGACGCGGCUCCCGGCGAUGUCCCGGGAUAUCCCCGCCAUGUCCCGGGAUAUCCCCGCCAUGUCCCGGGAUAUCCCCGCCAUGUCCCGCCGAUGUCCCCGCGAUGUCCCGCCGAUGUCCUGGAGAUGUCCCGGCGGCUCCCACCUGUACCGAGCCAGUCUCCUCCUCCGACACCCCCCGUUCUGCGGGGUCCCAGUGACGCGGGAUAGGCCGUGGCGCGGUGCCCGGCAGCAGCCGUCCCCUGGCAUCGCCCCUGCUCUGUGUGCCUGGGGAAGUCUGUCACAUCCUGGAAGUGUCCAAAAACCGCGUGGAUAUGGCACCUGAGGACAUGCUUUAAUGUUGAGAGCUGAGCUGCUUGAGUGAGAACAGAAAGGGUUGAGACCCCGUUUUCAGGAGGUCAAAAGCCCAAUAUAGUAACAGCUGCUCGUUAGUGAAUUCCAGGAAAGGAUGUGGGUAACAGCAGCCAAGGCCGGGCAGAGAGGUGGACAGAACGACCUCAGAUACUGGCACUGACAGUUGCAGCAUCUUCUGGUUGCUUACAGCAGAGGGGUUUCAUCUAAUCCAUCUAAUCCAGUGUUUCAACAACAGAAAAUUUAAUUAGUCCUCUUGCUCAAUCUCCAGAUUGCAACAACUCAGCCUAUCAUUCUUUUGGCCAAGGACAGAGUGAGUAUUGUAUAUUGAAUCUGGGAGAUAAUUGGAUCAUGAUUUAAAUCUGCAAAUUCCACAGGAGUCCCGCAGCAUGCAGGACAGCAACAGUUAACUACACUGGAAGAACCACUGUCGGUAACAGGGAGCUGGGAUAUCUUGAUGCUCACAUUUUUAUCCAUGCUGGAGCGUUUUCAGCCACAGCCAGCAGGGACUUGUGAAACAUUGCACGGGAGAAGUAUGCAUCCCUUCUAGAAAACAUGCUUUAACUCACUUCUGCCCCCAAGGUAUCGUGCCAAAAUGACGAUACGACAUUGUGUCACUUUGCAGCUGCACUCAAAGCGAGGAAGCCAGCAGAAGACAAAGGGAGGGUUUCCAAAUUCCUCCAGCACCACCCCGCUCUCGAGAGGUGGGGACUGAAAUUCUUUGAGAAGGAGCAUAUGCAAACAGUUGCUAAAAGAGAUGUCCGGUUUACAACACUGUGAUCAGCGUGGAAAGGGAAACUGCAGCAAAAACAUUCCGGAGCCUUGUUUUUCCCCAUCUGAAUUUUUCUACCACCACGGAAGCUUCUCACUUCCAGUGCACAAGUCCAUCCCUGCGAAGGGAGGGGAGAACGACCUGCACCUUCCGACCUGGUGCUGUGAGACACAAAUUCAAGGUGGAAAGAGCUGGUCCUGCUUUACAGCUGGACAGUGACAACUUUGCAUGGGGACCCUCUGCUAGUGCCCACAAUUAAGCCCUGUCUCCUCUCUGCGGAAUCACCCAGUAGAUCCUUGUCCUUCUGGGAGUCCCAGCCGUGCACCGGGACAACGCCUUAAAUUCUGUUCAAACCCAGUAAUCGCCCUCGCUCUCCUCCUAAUUCUGCCUUUCUAAAGACAGCUCAUUGCUGAGUGAAAUUACCGAAAAGAAGGCAGAAAGGAAAGCUGCAGUUAGAAGGAAGGGGAUUCUCUCCUCACAAACAAACAGGCAAGAGACCCUGCAGCCUGGGAGAGGGAAAUGUGGACAGCGGAGAGAUCGAAGCAGAGAUACCAGAGCAGAAACUGCAAGCAGUGAAGAGAAAUAGAGACUAAACGGAGGGGUGGGAGGAGAAUAAAGAUAAGGUGAUA